UCUUUUUCAUUUUCUACUUUUCCUUCUCUCUCUUCUAUCAAGCUUCUUUCUUUUCUUUUUCUCUUUUAUCUCUCCCUUCUCCCGAUGCUUCAUCUUCUUCUUUUCUUUUUCUCCUUUCUCUCUCCCUUGUGUCGAUGCAUCAUCUUCCUCUUCUUCCUCUUUUUCUUUGUUCUUUGUUCAUCUUCUUCAUUUUCUGGUUAGGGCUUCUUUGAUUUGUGACAUCAACUUACAAACCGGAAUAAUACUUGCAAAGAUCUUCCAAAAACAAAUCCAGAUCCGCUAUCAAGAGUCGUAAUAAUGUUUUAUUUUAAACCAUUCAUGUGAUAUCCUUCUGAUUGUUUAAUCUUCCAAUAGUAAGACGCGGUAUGGGAUCAAAAGGACAGAAGAUAUCGAUUUUAACUAAUCCUUUUAAUGGUGUCUUUUGCUUAUGAAGAUGGACGCACUGUGGAAGGUAAGUGUUGGGAGGAAGAUAAUGGACCAGGUGCAGGAGACAUAUGCUUCUGACAUGAAUGGCAAGGAAUUUGCAUAUGAAGGGGAUACAAGUCUAUUUAUUAUCGAUUCUCAUUCUCAAAACAAGCUUAAGUUUGAGAUUGUUUUAGAGGAGGCUAGAUCUAACAGGUAGAAAUUACUAUUAUAGAGGUGUUAUGCUGACUCUUGAAAUUUGUUUUCAUAUAUUAUUGUUUUAGUUGUAUUAUAUUUUUCCUAUCAUGUUUGUAGAAAUAAUGGCAAUCUUAGUCCUGAUGGUAAUUGGGAUAAUGAGAGUGACAAAAAGAGACUCCAACGCCCGUAGCUUUGCCAAGGCAUUUCGUUUGCGAUAGUUUAUUUUGGUUAAGUGAUUAUCUUAAUAAAUUCAGUUGCAUAUUCUAUUGCAAUACCUUUUUUUUUACCUAAUCUACAAAUUUAAUAUAUAGUUUUGAAACUGAAUUUUUCUCCAAAUUGUUCUUUAGAUCCUAUAAAUCUAUGGAGUUGAUAUAUAUCUUAAUAAAUACUAUCUUUUCACAAUGUAGACAAGCUAUCACCGCCACUCCACCUCGCUAUAUCUGCUGUUGUUAUUGCUUACACUGUAGCUGCCAAAGUUCCAGUUAUAUGAUCAAUCAAAGCCUAUUUUUAUGUGUCUUCGGUUUCUAACGCGACUAAAAUAGAGAAGUGUCAGGUAGAACCGGAAAAAUUUCAUCCAUAUAAUAUAACCAACCUUAUAUGAUUCUAAUGGAGCCUAAUGAGUGAGAAAUAACAUCUACUGUACGUGAUUAAUUCUUUGAUAUCAGAUGGUUGUUUUUAAUCAAGUGCAUGCCAAAGGUAAAAAAAUAUAUCUAUCUGCUCAACUUCUUUUAACACGACUUACAUGAAUCCGUGUUGUCACAUUUACAAUCACUUUUCAAGAUACCGUGAUGAUGGGUGCUGACUAUUAUCAUAGAGAAGCUGAAAUCACGUCUCUUUUAGCAGCGGGAGACAUUCUUAUAUGAGAAAUGUAUGAGCAAACUGCUCAACUUCUGAACUGUAUGAGCAGACUAUCAAGUAUGACAAAGGUUCCUUUGUUAGUUGGAUCUUAAACCCUUUGAGUUGUCUGCAGAACUUAUAGAAAAUGGCCUUUACCACUUGGCUAGGUUCCUAGGUAUGAGAAAAACCUAUUGUGUUACUUGAAAUUUUUAAUGAAAAUUAAGAAGUGGAAAGGAGGCAUGUUGAUCAUGACUUUGGGUGUGAUGUUAUUUUUACUGUACUGUCUCAAAGGAAUUUAGCCACAAAAGCAAUCUACAAAGCAGUCAACAUACAAUUUUUUAAUAACAUUUCAUCCCCGCUAUGUAGUAGCAGUUUACGGCUGGAUCUAGAAGCUUUUGUCUCACAAAGCUCAUGAGCAUGCAGCGGUAAUAGUUUAUGGCAAAUUAUAUAUUAUCGGUGGAAGCCGUAAUGGUCGGCAUAUAGAAGCAGUAGUGUGUCCAUUAAUUUUAAAGCUUGAGGUUCUAUUGAAUAAGUAUUUCCUUUUUUUUUUGUUGACAUUUCUUGCUUGUAGAAAAAGACAAGCCACGUCUUUUAUAAUUUUUAUACUUUGUUAUGAAAUGAGCGUUCAUUAAGAAUCCAAAUGCAAUUGUAUUUGAACUAACUGUCAUGCUAAAUACAAUUUUUGUUAAGAGGGGGAUUGAUUUUGGGAUUGAAGUGGCUAUAAUGAGAGACUAUGUGUAUAUAGUGGCAUGGCAAAGAAAGGGUAAGAAGUUUAAUAAAAAUAAGUGAAAGUUUAGACAAGUCACUUACUGUGUACAUAUUAUUAUCGAUGGCGGGUAAAGUGAAAACAAGGUCUGUGGUUAAUUCAUCCUGAGGUAGGAGGGACAGUAAAUAGAGAAUUGGAGAAAAGGUAAUGGCUUGCAGGAAAUGAGGUUCGACUGUUGCUUAUCAUUUUAAAGAAUAGAUUUCAUAUUAUUGAGGGUUCUCCUUGCCAAGAAACCUGGUGGUUUUUUUUCUUUUCAUCUAAUAGGUAGCAAUAUCUCAAGUCCACUUUUCUUCCUCUUGAAAAGAAACUGACAAUUUUUUAAACUGAGAAAAAAUGCAAAUUGUUGAUGAAUUAAACGUUGUUGAAUUCCUUUUGUUAUUCAAAAGAUUAUUUAGGAGCCUUUAGGAGGCUUUUUGUGUCAAAUGUUUCUUAUGGGUCAAGUCAAAUUUGAUUGUUGAUGUAAAUAUUUUUAUAAAUGAUGUCUAUAAAAAAAAUAUAUUACUGAUCUAAAAUGUUUCAUUAUACGAGAAAAAUAUAUAUUAUUGAUUUAUGUAUUUUUAUAAACAGCGAUAUUUUUAUAUAUGAGAAAAAUUACUAUUGAUCCAACUAUUUUUGUAAAUGAUA